GAUCCAUACACACUGAUCCCAGAGGGAUCGCUGUUGUUCUCAACCUAAUACCUUCAUUGUUGGCCUUCCGAGUCUCAGCCUGCAUGACCACUGAAAAUAUGACAGUACAAGCAUGAGAUUCUACAUUGUCAGAUCAGUUAGUGGGCACCCACCUCUGGAGUAGGUCUCCAGUGUUUCUGUUGGAUGUAUAUAGUUAUCACACAGUGAUGACAAUCCUGGCUACAGAAGGUGUAUAUAUCAGUGUACAUGGGGUGCUAUAAUGGAUCUAUACUCGCACCAACUUACUGCUGGUUCUAAUCAACAAGGAGAGGGGAAGUUGGUGUGAGAGUGCAGGUCAAAGGUCAUGUCUUCCAAAAGCACCAGCAGCACCCUUGUGCACUACCGGAACCUGGGCAAGUCUGGGCUCCGAGUCUCCAAUAUUGGCUUUGGAACAUGGGUGACCUUUGGAGGCCAGGUGUCAGAAGAGGUUGCAGAAGAGCUCCUCACCCUGGCCUACGAAAGUGGAAUCAACCUGUUUGACACAGCAGAGGUGUAUGCUGCGGGAAAGGAGGAAGAGCAGGUGUUCUCUAGGGCAGAAAAUACUCUAGGAAACAUUCUGAAGAAGAAGAGCUGGAGGAGAUCGAGUUACAUUCUGUCCACAAAGAUCUACUGGGGAGGGAAGGCGGAGACAGAGAAAGGACUUUCACGGAAACACAUCGUUGAAGGUCUGAAGGGCUCUCUGGAGAGGCUGCAGCAGGACUAUGUGGAUAUUGUGUUCGCCAACAAGCCAGACUCACAUACGCCAAUGGAAGAGGUGGUGCGAGCUUUCACCCACGUCAUCAACCACGGCUGGGCCAUGUACUGGGGUACAUCGCGGUGGAGCCCCAUGGAGAUCAUGGAGGCGUACUCGGUGGCGCGGCAGUUCAACCUGAUUCCCCCAGUAGCCGAGCAGGCGGAGUACCAUCUGUUCCAGAGGGAGAAGGUGGAAAUACAAAUGCCAGAACUUUAUCAUAAAAUAGGUAUCGGGACUGUGACAUGGUCCCCCCUUGCCAGUGGGAUCCUCACAGGGAAAUACGAUGAUGGUGUUCCUAUCUACUCCAGGGCUGCUCUCAAGGGCUACAGCUGGUUGAAGGAUAAGGUCCUGAGCGAGGAUGGACGACGACAGCAAGCCAAACUGAGAGAGGUGGCAGUGAUUGCCGACAGACUGGGCUGUUCUAUAGCACAGCUCGCCAUAGCGUGGUGUGUUAAGAGUGAGAAUGUUCACUGUGUCCUGCUCGGAGCUUCCAAUGUUGAUCAGUUGUAUGAAGACAUCCAGGCCCUACAGUAUGUGUCCAAGCUGACCCCGGCUAUUCUUAGCGAGAUGGAUAAGCUGCUUGGGAAUAAGCCUGUGUACAAGCGAGAAACAUACAGUCGACAAAGAGCCCGACAAGUUCCACGCCGAUAGCGCUAGGCAGGGCCUUCCAUGAUUGUACUUCCAGCAGAUGAACACUUUUGUCGUCUGCUCUAUGCAAGCAAGAUGGCGCCCACAUCGCCAUAGUUACCAGAAGAGGGCAGGAGGUACAGAGGAUGCACCUGCUGCUGAAGUCCCCACUAGGGCUGUAGCGGCGGCUUCUAGACGUGACUAAAUCAUGGACACUGCUGUGUAGCGGCAUCUUCUCAACAGCUAGAGUAAUGGCAUUGUCAGAUUGUUGUCAAAAUAUGUGCAAUGCCAUUUGCCUCAAAUGAUUAAUCCACAAGGGGCAAGAACAAGAUGGCUGCCGAAUGUGAUAUUUAUCUGUACUGCUGGAAGUGAGUGUUUAAAGGUACAUAUCAACGAAAUUGUGUCAUGCAGAUAGCAGGAGAACCUUCAGGAUUUAAUACAUCACAGCUGUUUAACAACAUUGAGUUAUCAACAGGUCCAGUUCAGGAGAUGUGUACCUCAACACAAGGUAGACCGUGUCCAGGCAUGUCAUGUGACUUACCUCAUUCACUGGCUUGUACAGGAUCGUGAAGAACACAUGGAACCUGGUAGCCUCAAACCAAUUAAUAUCAAGAUUAUUCAUGAACUGUGGAAUUAUAUCAGCAUUAAUUAAUAUUGAAAUGUUUGCAGUGGGUUGUCAUAAAUUAUUUCAAGGAAGAAAAGCUAUAUGUGAACUAUGGUAAACACUGGAUAUGUCAUGUGGUAAGACUAACAAGAUGGACAAGAUGGAAGACAUGACAAAUUGGUGACAAAACGGGUACUCUUACCUUUGACAGUUAUAUUGGAACUGAAUAACAUGGUGUGACAUCUGCAGUUGUCGGGGAUAUUUCUAGAUGUUGGCAAUGACAGUCUUUUCUAAAUGUUAGCCAUUUCUUGAGGUUUGUGACGAAAGUCAUGAAGGUAAUGACAGACACCAGUCUACAAAUUUUAAAAAACCUGUUGGAUUGUUUUCAAAAUUCUUUGCAGAUAACCAAAAUAGUUCUGAUGGAAAUCCCAUCACAAAAUAAAAUCAGAUUCAAACUCACAGAGUUUUCAAAAUAAAAGUAUUGUAACAUAUAUUCCAGCUGUUAUUCCAACCUUUGAUGAAUCAAAUAUUCAUAGAAGAAUUAUCCCCUACAAUUGUUUGGGA
rnacentral:misc_RNA from 1 species